UGGGGAAUUUUGCUCAAUGGGCGCAAGCCUGAAGCAGCAACGCCGCGUGGAGGAUGAAGGAUUUCGGUUUGUAAACUCCUUUUAACGAGGAAGAUAAUGACGGUACUCGUUGAAUAAGCACCGGCUAACUCCGUGCCAGCAGCCGCGGUAAUACGGGGGGUGCAAGCGUUACUCGGAAUCACUGGGCGUAAAGGGCGCGUAGGCGUUUUCUUAAGUCUUCCGUGAAAGCCUGGGGCUUAACCUCAGAACUGCGGGGGAAACUGGGAGAAUAGAGUAUGGAAGAGGUCGAUGGAAUUUCUGGUGUAGGGGUAAAAUCCGUAGAGAUCAGAAGGAAUACCAAUUGCGAAGGCGAUCGGCUGGGACAUUACUGACGCUGAGGCGCGAAAGCGUGGGGAGCAAA
rnacentral:rRNA from 1 species